GGGCGACGGUGACGGAGCAGCUGGGCACGGUGCAGCAGGCGCAGGCGACGGGGUAGCAGCUGGGCGUGACCGCCAAGUCCUACGCUGCCGUGAAGGAGAGGGCCAGGGCCAAGGCCGCCGCUGCGGAGGACGAGACGGUGGCUGCUCCGACACCUGGGGCCCUCUGCAAGGAGCGGGGUCUCGUGGCCGGUGAUGGAUGGAGCUGCGGCCGUCGGCGCCGCCGUGGCAGCUGUUGCCGUGGUGAUCUUCCGCCUCAAGAGGUAAACCGGUGAGCUGAUGCACAGGAAGUUUUGCUCUGCCGCGACAGCCUAUGGAAGAUUUGAUGAGUUUUUUUGUGGUGAUGAACUGAUGAUGGUAGUGUGCUGGAUGAGAAUAGUAUGACUUCUAUGAGCUAGUUGCUUAAUAGCCUACAGAAACAUAGGGAUCUGAACACUUGUUGUGUUCCAUUCCUGUUUUUCCUUUUAUCAUUCUACCUGCUUCGUUGGUGACGCUAAAUGUCUGAAACAAUUUGUGAUGCGUAACUGAGGAACGCCUAAUGGUUGCUGUG
rnacentral:sRNA from 1 species